rnacentral:rRNA from 1 species
GACGAACGCUGGCGGCGUGCUUAACACAUGCAAGUCGAACGGAAAGGCCCUGCUUUUGUGGGGUGCUCGAGUGGCGAACGGGUGAGUAACACGUGAGUAACCUGCCCUUGACUUUGGGAUAACUUCAGGAAACUGGGGCUAAUAACGGAUAGGAGCUCCUGCUGCAUGGUGGGGGUUGGAAAGUUUCGGCGGUUGGGGAUGGACUCGCGGCUUAUCAGCUUGUUGGUGGGGUAGUGGCUUACCAAGGCUUUGACGGGUAGCCGGCCUGAGAGGGUGACCGGCCACAUUGGGACUGAGAUACGGCCCUGACUCCUACGGGAGGCAGCAGUGGGGAAUAUUGCACAAUGGGCGGAAGCCUGAUGCAGCAACGCCGCGUGCGGGAUGACGGCCUUCGGGUUGUAAACCGCUUUCGCCUGUGACGAAGCGUGAGUGACGGUAAUGGGUAAAGAAGCACCGGCUAACUACGUG